CGAGACCUCAGGUCAGGCGGGGCUACCCGCUGAAUUUAAGCAUAUCAAUAAGCGGAGGAAAAGAAACUAACAAGGAUUCCCUUAGUAAC
rnacentral:rRNA from 1 species